UGUGUAUCUCAUGGAGCUGAACAUUUUGAGUGGUGAAAGGUGAAGGUCAAGGUCAUCCUUCAAGGUCAAAUGUCAAAUAUAUGGCAUCUGUCCGUCCGAAAACUUUAACAUUGGCCAUAACUUUUUCAAUAUUGAAGAUAGCAACUUGAUAUUUGGCAUGCAUGUGUAUCUCAUGAAGCUGCACAUUUUGAGUGGUGGAAGUUCAAGGUCAAGGUCAUCCUUCAAGGUGAAAGGU